rnacentral:rRNA from 1 species
UCCGUAGGGGGCAAGCGUUGUCCGGAAUCAUUGGGCGUAAAGCGCGUGUAGGCGGCUCGAUAAGUCUGCUGUGAAAGUCCAGGGCUCAACCCUGGGAUGCCGGUGGAUACUGUCGAGCUCGAGUCCGGAAGAGGCGAGUGGAAUUCCUGGUGUAGCGGUGAAAUGCGCAGAUAUCAGGAGGAACACCAAUGGCGAAGGCAGCUCGCUGGGACGUGACUGACGCUGAGACGCGAAAGCGUGGGGAGCAAACAGG